GCGAAUGUGGCGAAAUUGGCAUACGCGCUAGACUUAGGAUCUAGUGGGCUUAGUCCCGUGGGGGUUCGAGUCCCCCCAUUCGCACCA
rnacentral:tRNA from 2 species